GGCGGGGUAGCUCAGGGGUAGAGCAGCGGGGUCAUAAUCCGUAGGUCGGGGGUUCAAAUCCCUCCCCCGCUACCA
rnacentral:tRNA from 1 species